CUCUCCAAAUUUUGGUUUCCCCGCUUUUCACUUUACUUUUCCCCCUCUUUGCUUUCAAUUUUUUCUUCUUUCUUUUGCAGUUACUCUUAAACCUUUUGCUCUCAGAUCAUUCUUUCCCAAAAUUAUUAAAAAAAAAAAAAAACCUUUCCCAAUCUCUCUUCGAACCUGAAGUAUAUACCUCUCCUUUCAAGAUCCGAUCAAUCCACUGCUUUGUCGAAGCUUGAUUGGAACAUUAACGGCAAAUACAACUGAUUACGCGAUGGGACCAUGACAACGCUGAUGGUUCAGGAAUGCAAGAAUUGAUGCCGCGUAAGCUAAGAGGAGAAUAGAAAGUUCGGUAGAACACAUAUUUGAAGAUGUUUUGGGCGUUAGGGUCAGAUUUCGAACGACAACAAUGAAGUUGAAGGCUCUCUUAUCUGAGGUGGUUGAUUGUAGUGUCUAUGUGACAUGUUAGCUAGACCGAUCAUUAGCUGUGAAGGAUGAGAUAUUCUGCUUGUUUGAAAGAGCUCUAGACAAUUUAGGGAGCUUGAGACAACAAUAUGGACUUGCCAAAUCUGGAAAUGGCGUAGACGGAAGAUCCACUGCAUGUUAUGAUUUCCAUUGCUCCUGCUUCUGAUUAUUUGAAGGAUUUAUGCAAAGUGAGUGUGUGGAAGAGUGAAGCAACAGAGCAGGUAUGGCCAGUAACUCUGCUUCUGGUGAACCUUGUACAUGUAAGACUAGUGGAAUUUGUUUGUUUGUGUCUAUGACUACUUUAACUUUGUGGAAAAUGUGAGUGUCAAAUUUGUGUGUUUUUGUUUGCUCAUUUUUAUGAAGUCUGAAAUCAAUUUUAGUUUUAGUUUUACCUUGUAAGUGUCGUUUAUCUCUCAUUCUCAAGAUAAUGAGUUUUUUUUUAUUGGUGCUUCACAUGCUUAAAAUCUUUGGAAUGAUCCUUGUAUCUGUUUGCAGUGAAGAAACUGAAUGUUAUAGUUUUCGAGGACUAGAGUGAUGCACAAUUUCUUGAACUGAUAUCCAACAUCUAAUAAAUUUAGCAUGCCAAUAUUGCAAAUGUAGAAAACUAUAUAUAUUGAAUAUUGUCAUGUUCCGAUAUUUAAUUAUCUGUGCUUCUUUCUGGUCAAUAAUUAGUAUCCCAAAACGGGUUUUAUACCACAAGCGCCUAACAUCUAAUUGAUCGAUAUUAGACAAUGAUUUGAUUCUAACCUCCACAUCAUGUCAUUUGGUAAGUAUCCUAUCAUUUGAUUAUAUUAUUUUAAUAAACCUAAACACUUUUUCAAAUUUAUACUCUAGACUUCCCAAAGAGUUCCAUGACCAAGUGAAGGAUACAGGAAGGAAAAUUUGUUCCAGACCAACUUAAAAGAGAGUUACAUAAACUUUGGUAGAGCUAGAGGAAGAGCUAAGAGUUGCUUCUCUACAUGAUGAGAGGAGAUUGAUAUGCAUAAACUAAAUUGUUUGAGAGAAACUCUCAAAGAGGUGAGGAUAGCAGACAACAUAGCCAACAAUCUGAUGAUGAUAGUAUAUACAUGAAGUGGUUGGAGGCAUUAACAAGAAGGGAAACAUAUUUGGAUUAGGAUCUCAAGCAGCCACUAUCAAAGAAUCUUUGAAAUCCAGUGAAGUUUAGUUUUAGUUAUUUUCCGUUAUGUAUUUUCGUUAAAUCAAUUAUAUGUAUUUUUUUGUGUUGGACAACUUUAUGUCUGAUAUUAUUAUGUAGUGCCGUAGUAGCGCAUUUGAUACUUUGUAAGAAUGACAUACAUUUUUAUGUUAAUUUGCAAAUUUGGUGUCGAUUUUUUUUUUUUAA